GAAACGGCAGCUAAGACCGCAUAAGUAGGGACACUGCAUGGUGACCGUAUUAAAAUGCUGCAAGGCACUGGUAGAGGAUGGACUUAUGGCGCAUUAGCUGGUUGGUGAGGUAACGGCUCACCAAGGCGACGAUGCGUAGCCGACCUGAGAGGGUGACCGGCCACACUGGGACUGAGACACGGCCCAGACUCCUACGGGAGGCAGCAGUAGGGAAUUUUCGGCAAUGGGGGGAACCCUGACCGAGCAACGCCGCGUGAAGGAAGAAGGAAUUCGUUCUGUAAACUUCUGUUAUAAAGGAAGAAAGACGGAUGGAGGAAAUGACAUCCGAGUGACGGUACUUUAUGAGAAAGCCACGGCUAACUACGUGCCAGCAGCCGCGGUAAUACGUAGGUGGCAAGCGUUAUCCGGAAUUAUUGGGCGUAAAGAGGGAGCAGGCGGCAGCAAAGGUCUGUGGUGAAAGACUGAAGCUUAACUUCAGUAAGCCAUAGAAACCGGGCAGCUAGAGUGCAGGAGAGGAUCGUGGAAUUCCAUGUGUAGCGGUGAAAUGCGUAGAUAUAUGGAGGAACACCAGUGGCGAAGGCGACGAUCUGGCCUGCAACUGACGCUCAGUCCCGAAAGCGUGGGGAGCAAAUAGGAUUAGAUACCCUAGUAGUCC
rnacentral:rRNA from 1 species